rnacentral:rRNA from 1 species
AUGAGACGCACACCUUGCAGCAGUUUGUUGCCGCAGCCACAAUCGCUCGACACCCACAAACACGCUGCACUAGGGUCAUUCCUCGCAUCCGUGACGCCCGAUAUGUUGAAUGACCUACGACGCUUGCUGACCACUGGCACCAAUGGUGUGAUCCCUCGUGAAUCGCUUGGUCAAAUAGAGUACUUCCUCCGACAAAAAGUAAUGGCGUUGGAUCCCGAACCUCCCAAGGUGGCCGAAUUAUGCGAGGAGGCUAAGGGGACUCUGCUGAGAAUGAAGGUAUAUUAUAACAGAAUGAAAUUACACUUUUGCUCUAGGCUUGAACAACUGCCGCAGAAAUAUGCCUAUGAGCAUCCUUUGGAACCACAAUAUGUGCUAAGUGUUAUCUGUGGUGUGGUGGCUGGUUCUGAAUCCUUAGACAGGGAGUGCUAUCACAUUAAUUUUGUGGCUGCUUCCAAAUCAGGGAUUGCUCGUAACCAACUCUUCUUCGCCGAACUCAAUUAUUCGUAUCCUGGUGAGCAGGAAAAAACAAAUUUCUGCUGUCCUCUACCCCUGAUAUAUACUAGUAAGUCCACAUUCCUUCCAAGUAGAACUGAAGGGGAAGCUAGUGAGCAGCCAUUCAGGUUUAAAACACUAGAGGGAACUGCCCCCGCCCUUGUUUCUGUGUUUCAUUGA